UCCUUCCUUUUCCCCCUCAGCCGCUUAAGCGGCUGAGGGGGAAAAGGAAGGAGCCUGAGGCUGUGAGGCAUGCCGGGAGUUGGAGUCCAAAACACCUGAAGAGAAGGCCCAAGCGUGAAUGGCUUUUCAGCUUAAGCUGUGAUUAGAUAAAUAGGUUCAAAAUUGCAGGAAGGACACCCUGCAGCAGCACAUUUGGGUCUAAUUUUCCAAUGAAUAUAUCAACCAAUUCAGCUUAGUUUGUGGCAGCCAGAAAAACGAAGCCCUGAAGUAGAGCAACGACUGUACUUUGAAAGUAAGGACUGCACAAUUGAACAGGAAAAAACACAUUCAAACCAGGAACAGAAAAAAAAUGUUACAUAGUGAUGUGGGCUAAACAUGCGUUUAGCAAACAUGCCAGCCUAUGGCUGAGAAGGCCUUUGUUGUAGCUUGAUGCUUGAAGCAUCAUAGGAACCUCAUCAUUUCAGUGAGCGUGAAUUAACCAUAGAAAUUCCCCCUCCUCCAGCAACAUCCAAGCCCUGUUGGAUCUGAACUCUUAGGUAGAUGAGAUCUAUCUUCGGAUAAGAUCCUGUUGUGUGUUGUUCAGACACAGCAGAGCCAACAUGUGCUUGCUCAAAACUUGGAAGAAAUCACCAGGGCCAUCUAAUGCAAUGCCAUGCAGGAACAAGCAAGAAGAAAAAACCCCUACAAGGUCUGGCCAUCAAAAAGAGGCUGCAGAAAAUCUGGACAAUAUAGAGGAUUUAUUGUGCAAGAGACAAAGGUGUAACUCUCUGCAUCGGAGUCUGGAGGAAGCUCCUUCGUUUGAGGCUUUUACACAAAGGCUGGAUGGCCAUCUGUUGGGCGGGCUUUGAUUGUGCUUUUCCUGCAUGACAGAAAGAAGGGGGUUAGACUGGAUAGCCCCAGAGGUCCCUUCCAACUUUUAGUAUUCUAUGAUUGGAUGUCUGAUUGGUCCUGAGAUAUUCCUAAGACAUAACCCAAGAGCCAGCAUGGUGUAGCAUUGGGCCCCGACUGUGGACGCCAAAUGUAGGCCUCUGCUUGGCAAUGGAAACCUACUUUUGGCAAGACACUCUCUCUCAGCCUCAGAGGAAGACAAAGGCUGAAGGGAUCUUGCCAAUUAAACCCCAGGAUUGGUCCCCUCCGGGUCGCCGCAAGUCAGAAACAGCUUAAACACACACGGCUAACAAAACUACCGCUUAGUUCAAGCGGAAGACUUCUCACUGACUGUAAAUCUAGACCCAACGAAAGCAGCACAACGCUACCAAAGAGAGUAGUUGGCACGAGCAGCCUGCAACGGUUGAUUUGGUUGUCCCAGACAGGACCAUCACUUUCCCUACAUUCCUCAUCAUCCCAGGUCGCAAAAAAGAAAGUCAAUUCUGCAUUUUUCCUCCUCCUUUUUUUGAGUGAUCAGAAGUCACAGACCAGGUAGGUUUGUCAUAUGCAAUGCAUUGGCGGAACUAAAAAGCAGCAGAGCGGGUUUCAUGGGGCAGAGCUGUGGAAAUGCACAAGGGCCAGGAAAAGGGAAGGCUGUACAGUGUUCCUUCAAGUCGCAGAGAAAUGUUCAACCCAUUCUCUCACUGAGUGCGAAGGGGGGGGGCUAUCACACCGGGGGGGCCUGAAAACCAUCUCCUUGAGACAACUUAAUGUGCCAUAUAAUACUGUGUAGCAGGGCACUGAAAAGGAUAGCCGUGACAGUCUGGUUUAGCUUAAAAAGACAUAAAGGAAUCUAGUAACACCUUUCAGGCUAACUGGGGGUGGGGUGAUGCUCAAGAUCACAGCUUUCCAAACUCUGUGUUGCGAUGCGUGAGUCAGCAAGUUGCGCCAUCAUAUUCAGAACCGACAAAAAUCUUGGAAAUGUACGUUAAAGGUAAAGAUUUCCCAUAGAAAUUAAGUCUAGUCGUGUCCAACUCUGGGGGGUGGUGCUCAUCUCCAUUUCUAAGCCGAAGAGCCAGUGUUGUCCAUAGACACCUCCAAGGUCAUGUGGCCAUAGGCAUGACUGCCUAUGUACAUUAACUAUGUACGUUAUAUAUAUAUUUUAAAAAAUCAAUGAAAGGUUUUCACAAUAUAUGUUGUGCCCCCGUAGAUUUCUUUAUGACAAAUUGUGUAUGUGUCCGUAUCUGUUAUAAGGAGCCAGGUUUAACCUCCGGCUUGCUAUUAAAAGUGAAUUACUGUGUUGCAAAAAAUGUGUCGCUAACAUGAAAAGGUUGGAAAGUUCUGCUCUAGAUGCAACAGAUUUUAGUCAACAAAAGCUUUUGCUAGAAAUACCGAUUUUAAAAUAAAAUAAUAAUAAUUAUUAUUAUUAGAGGAGGGUCUUCCUCUAAGAUACCUCUCUUUUCUAAGUCCCUGUCCUGCUGAAAACCCUCCUUCAAGGGUAAAGCAGAGUAAGAAAGUUGGGUAUCUUUUCUGCUCGGAAAGAAUGAGCACCAGCCUCCUGUUUCUGAAAAGAAUGUGGACCAAACUUGGCACGCAGACCCAAUAUGACCAACUGAAACUAAUAAAGGGGAGCGGUGGGAUCUUGGUUGCCAUAAGGGCCAUAGAGAAAGUCAAGAGUCCUCCCCUAUGGCUUUUCCCAUAAGAAUAACCGUGGAGCCUUCCUUCCCCAACUUAAAAAGUUUCCAAAUCCAAUGUCUCUACAAAAACGGAAAGGGAACGUUUCCAGGAACCAGACACACUCGUACAUAUAUAUUUAUAUAUCUAUAUAUAUAUCUCUAUAUAUGCCUCCAUACAGAGAUAUAUAUGGGGAAAUGUAACCUUAUGUACAUUUUAUUUCAAUAAAGACGUCAAAGGACAAAAACAGCAUAAGGAUGCCCUAACGAUAAAUACAUUUCAAAGAUUCUCUGUAGCAUUUCUCUGCGAGCAAAAUACCUUUCUUUACAUUACAAAGAAGUCAGCAUUCUGGACAGCAAUUGCUUUUCUCCAUAUUUGUGUGAGUGCAGAAAAUUCAUUGUUAAAUUUCUUUUUUUUGUUGCAAACAAAUAAUGAUUUCCCCACAAAGCAGGCUUGCUCUACAUGCUAACGUUUUUUUUCUUUAAACAGUUCUGUGACACAAUGUGCUAGCUACAAUAUACAACAGAGAAUAUAGUAAGAAAACACGCAACCUGAUGAAAAGUUAAAAUCUUCAUUAAUACAUUGGAAAAAAGUCGACAUAACUCAUGCCUUUUCUUCUUUUAAAUCAAAAAAAUACAAAAAUUAAAUGUCUUCCUAAAAAGAUUUUCCUUAUUUUAAGGACUCAUUUGAAAAUGAAGCUGUGUGUCAUUUUUUGUACAAUAAAAAUUGUACAAGUAAACAGGUAAUAUACAUUAAAAAAAUUAAUUGACAUACUUCUUAAUUAUCAGCUGUCCACCUUUAAUUUUUUUUCUUCUUCUUCCAAUACUGUACUUUCUUUAACAAGCAUACAAAAUAUCAAACUUCUCUUUAGAAAAAGUGCCAUUCUGCAACGUCCUUUACACAAAAAACGGCCCCCGGAGCCAAUGGCCGCCCCUCCAUGCAGUUUCUUUCUUUUUUUUUUUUCCAGAGGCAAAGUUUACUAACGUCUACAAAUUUUUAUUUCCCCUCUUUUUCCAUAAAAAGCCUCCUCCUAAAAAGGAGACGACGCUCCGUUACAAAAAUAUUGGCCUCGCGAACGCACUGCAUGAGGGGGCCGUGGCUUGGAAGCCAUUCCCAUAUCGCAUAGAAAACCACUAUGAUGGCACGUUGGGGGGAGGAGUGUAUGAGAGAAGCACCUUCUCUCUCUGGCGAUGCAUAGUUACCGCGUCGGCGCCAUUCCCUGCGAAAUGUAUGAAAUGCCGAGGACUGAUUGCAACCAUCUGCAGAGCAGGCCCAUGGGUUUCCGGAUCCGAGUCGCUCUCCCUUUGCCGCGUUUGGUUCCUUGCAGACAGCGCUCUGCUUCCUCUUCCUCCUCUUCGUCUUGGAUCCCGGUCCGUGAACCUGCGCGUCACCCUCCAAAGCACAUGCCAUCACAAUGGUUUAAAUAUUCUGUAUAUUAUUAGUAAUUCUUAUAUUUCUUCUCAUCUAGCCAGUCUCUUGAUUUGUUUUUGUUUUUUUCUCUUUUUGAAAAAGAUCUUUUCCCACUACAGUAGAAUAUUAUUAUUAUUAUUAUUAUUAUCAUUAUUAUCAUUAUUACAGAAAAAAAACCAAAACAAAAAUAAUUAUAUAUAUAUAUAUAUAUAAAUGAAACUUACAUGGAAUAAAACUAGGUAAUAUUUUUUGUUUUUGUUUUUAAACAAAUAUACAAUAUGCAGGCAGACGAAAGCAGCUGAGGGGAGAAAAAGAUGGCCGUUCAAUAAUAAUAAUAAUAAUAAUAAUAAUAAUAAUAAUAAUAAUAAUAAUAAUAAUAAUAAAAACAAACCCUAAGAAAACUUGGCUAUUUCAAGGAAAAACAACUACGAAGCCGCCUCAAAACUAAAAGGAAUGCAUAAUGAAAUUCUAAACUCCUAAAUACAGGUUCAAAAAUGUAAAAAACGUUAUAAAUCUUAAACGGGAGGAAAGGAGGGGGAAAAACAUAUUUACUGGCCAUUCCUGUUGAAAUGAGACUCUUAAAAGGAACACGAAGUGGCUACAAACCCACUUAGAGAAAGAGCACCGAACAGAGAGAAAACCAGUGUCCAUUUUCAAUCUCUGUUAUUAUCAUAAAAUCCUGUGUUUUUUAAUAGGUCAAACUGCUGGUGGCAGAAACAGAAUUCAUUAAAAACGGCAGAUAUAUCCUGUACAUUAAAAAACAAAAGAAAAAGAAAACCAAAACGAAUUGGAGUCACACUAGUUCUAGAGACGGGUCUGUUCUAGCCUACCUACUGCAUGGAACGGGAUGGGUUCCGUUUGGCGAUAAUAGAAAGUCCUUCCGUGACCCUCGAUGGCGGCCGGGCGCCAGAGAUAAGAAAAAGCGAGAGGGUACAAAAAUGCAAAAUUUCAACAGUAAUGGCAAUGUUUGUUUUUUUCAUUUUUCAGUUCAAAAAAGAAACAAACACAUAAAAGGGUCCUGCGUUUUCUUCCUCUUGCGCUCCAUUUGACCAAGGCGUCCCAUGCGCGGAUUAAUCCGGGGGCAGCAAGUCGUGCAAGCGGAAGCGGUCCCGGAUGUGAGGCCGGACAUCCUCGUUCUGGAGCCAGGGAAACAAGAAGUGGGAGGGAAAUAAACAACGCCUGGGUGGUAAUAAGAUGAUGAUGAUUAUAAUAAUAAGGAUAUACAUUUAUCCCUCCUGGGUGUUCUGAACUACUGUUUUUACUCAAAUCUAAUGCUCACCCUUAUUUGGCUAAAUGACCUCACCAGAACGAAGGGUGCGCAUUAGAUUUGCAUCAUACCAUCAUCUUUUAGUGCUGAGCCAAAGGGGAAGCUGCUUCAGGAGCUCCUCUUUGAGGGACUGCAUCUCUAAUUUCACAACUCAAUGUUAUGGGAUCCUGGGAUUUGUAGUUUGGUGAGGCAGCAGCAUCCUUUUGCAAAAAAAAGCUUAAGGCCUUGCAAAACUACAGACCCAGGAUUCCACAGCACUGAACCAAGGCAAUUAAAGUGGAUUCAUUCCACAGCAGAGAUGCAUCCCAUCUGAAAAUUUCCAUUUUCCAUUGCUGAAAAUUUUGGUGUUCUAACACAAUUAUUUAUAAUGAAGGAAUUCUAAGCAGGCAGUAACAGUAAUGCACACCUUUUUUUGGCCAAAUGACAAAGAGCGCACUUUUGGCUGCUACAUAUGUUACAUUCAGCAGCAAAAAGAUCUUAGUCUACAAACCGGUUCAUAGAGGGAGAUACGUUCUGACAGGUAAGUUGGACUGGAGUUCAUUAUAUGAAACUUGGUUAAACCUUCCAUGUUGGACCAUUGUACCCAGCUGUUCAAAUCUAGUUCUGGUAAAUACCCUCCUGAGGUGUUUAGGCAUUUUUGUCUUUAGAUAUUAGGCUGUUUGAAAAGUAUGUUUAAAACAACUUAGCCAUUUCAAUGAGCUAGCUUUACUGAGUGUAGCAAUAUCUUUCUGAGCUUCUAUAUCUGUUUAAUUCUGUUUUAAUGUUUGCACAUUUGUAUACUUUAGAUUACAUGAUCAUACUUUUAACUGCAAGCUGCUUCAGGAGAGAUAAAGCGGGAUACAUAUAAACAUAAACAUAACAAUGCCCAGCAAUUUCUAUGCAGAACUUUAAUGCCCACAGAUCAAGUUCUUCUAUGCACUGAACACCUUUCUGUGCAGGAAUAGAGUAAAAUGGACCCUAUUCACCUCCAGACAUCAAAGGUCCACUUGCUCCAAGUUGCUAAAAUUAUAAAUUCCACUUCACAAACAAAACAUAUAUAAAAAAAUAACUGCUAUAUCAAUAAACUGUCGCUUCUGGGAGGGCAGAAUAACUUGAAAGAAAUAAGCGAAGCUCUGCAGAACGACUGUCUAGGUUUCCUUUUCUGUUCAUAUAAAAAGUACUUUGGCAAACCAGAGAGAGAAAGCAUAUCACUUAACUGAAAUACGUACCAGCUCUACAAGUUUUUCCAGAAAAGGAAUCAGUUUUAGGAGUUCGUUGUCGUUUUUGUCCAUGAACCAGCUCUCUAUUGGAAUCCCAUUUGAAAGCUAAAAUUUCAAACAAAACACAAAAAAGGCAAGUUACUUCUUUUCUAAAGAGAGAUAUCUUUAGAAAACGUGUGUGUUGUGUUUCCAUUUCAGCAUUUGCAAUUCAAAUUGUGUCAUUAUUCUAGCUGAAAACAUCUGUUUGUAGUUAUCAGGAAACAACUUCAUAAUAAAACCUUCUUUGUAGGGGGCUGCUGCAAACGUUUCAUAGUGAAAAUGGCUUUGUUCAAAGUACUGUAUGUAUUUAAUAGUAAAAAUCACAACAAAUUGGGUGCUGGCUUCCCUUUCCCUUCAUAAUAUCUCAUUAAUAAAACUAUGAUUUUCUUUUUA